UACGUAGGGAGCUAGCGUUGUCCGGAAUCAUUGGGCGUAAAGCGCGCGUAGGCGGCCCGGUAAGUCCGCUGUGAAAGUCAAAGGCUCAACCUUUGAAUGUCAGCGGAUACUGCCGGGCUAGAGUCCGGAAGAGGUGAGUGGAAUUCCCGGUGUAGCGGUGAAAUGCGCAGAUAUCGGGAGGAACACCAAUGGCGAAGGCAGCUCACUGGGACGGCACUGACGCUGAGACGCGAAAGCGUGGGUAGCAAACAGG
rnacentral:rRNA from 1 species